rnacentral:tRNA from 1 species
GUUCUUAUAGUAUAAUUCAAUAUUUUAGUUUGUCGUACUAAUGAUCUCUUAUAGAGUAAGAAUU